GACGAACCGAGCGAACUUUGUUCGGAAUCACUGGGCUUAAAGGGAGCGUAGGCGGGCUAUCAAGUCUGGGGUGAAAUCCCACGGCUCAACCGUGGAACUGCCUCAGAUACUGACGGCCUCGAGGGAGAUAGGGGCAUGCGGAACUGUAGGUGGAGCGGUGAAAUGCGUUGAUAUCUACAGGAACUCCGGUGGCGAAAGCGGCGUGCUGGAUCUCUUCUGACGCUGAGGAUCGAAAGCUAGGGGAGCAAACGGG
rnacentral:rRNA from 1 species